rnacentral:rRNA from 1 species
UCAGCGGCAGACGGGCGAGUAACGCGUGGGAACGUACCUUUUGGUUCGGAACAACCCAGGGAAACUUGGGCUAAUACCGGAUAAGCCCUUACGGGGAAAGAUUUAUCGCCGAAAGAUCGGCCCGCGUCUGAUUAGCUAGUUGGUGAGGUAACGGCUCACCAAGGCGACGAUCAGUAGCUGGUCUGAGAGGAUGAUCAGCCACAUUGGGACUGAGACACGGCCCAAACUCCUACGGGAGGCAGCAGUGGGGAAUAUUGGACAAUGGGCGCAAGCCUGAUCCAGCCAUGCCGCGUGAGUGAUGAAGGCCCUAGGGUUGUAAAGCUCUUUUGUGCGGGAAGAUAAUGACGGUACCGCAAGAAUAAGCCCCGGCUAACUUCGUGCCAGCAGCCGCGGUAAUACGAAGGGGGCUAGCGUUGCUCGGAAUCACUGGGCGUAAAGGGUGCGUAGGCGGGUCUUUAAGUCAGGGGUGAAAUCCUGGAGCUCCACUCCAGAACUGCCUUUGA